rnacentral:rRNA from 1 species
GAUGAACGCUGGCGGCGUGCCUAAUACAUGCAAGUCGAGCGGACGGACGAUAAUCUUGCUGCUCUGUUGUUAGCGGCGGGCGUGUGAGUAACACGUGUAUAACCUACCUAUAUGACGGGUAUAACUUCGAGACACCGGCUCUUAUACCGUAGAAUAUCUUGAAGCGCAGUGUGCAAAGGUGAAAGACGGUGUUGCUGUCACUUCUAGAUGCAUACGCGCUGCAUUAGCUAGUUGGUAAGGUAACGGCUUACCAAGGCAACGAUGCAUAGCCGAACUGAGAGGGGGAUCGGCGACACUGGAACUGAGACGCGGUCAAGACGACUACGGGAGGCAGCAGAAGGGAACGUGACGCAGCGGGGGGAAGCAUGACGGAGCAGGGGGGAGUGAGUGACGGCGGUGUUCGGAGCGGAAAGAUCUGCUAUUAGGGAAGAACAGAUGUGUAAGUAACUGUGGCGAUAGUGACGGUAACGAAUAAGAAAGCACCGGCUAACUACGUG